CGUUGAGCUAACCUGUACUAAUGAACCGUGAGGCUUAACCUUACAACGCCGAAGGUGUUU
rnacentral:rRNA from 1 species